AAGAAUUUAAAGGUCGAACAGACCUAUAAAUUAAGCGGCUACACCUAAUUAUUAUCUUAAUCCAACAUCGAGGUCGCAAGCCCUCCUGUAAAUAUGAACUCUGGAGGAGGAUUACGCUGUUAUCCCUAAGGUAACUUACUCUAGCAAUCACUAAAAAUGGAUCUAAAAAUCAUACAUCAAUGGUAAAUAAAUGAAAAAGUUAAUUAUAUAUUUUUGUCACCCCAACAAAAUAUAAUUUUACUACAAUUAUGUUAAUAUAUAAAUAAAUACAAAAAAUUAUAUAAAGAUCUAUAGGGUCUUCUCGUCUUCCAAUAUUAUUUUAGCUUUUUAACUAAAAAAUUAAAUUUUAAAACAAAUAAAAUGAGACAGUCAAUUCCUCGUUAAACCGUUCAUUCCAGCCCUCUAUUAAAAGACUAAUGAUUAUGCUACCUUUGCACGGUCAAUAUACCGCGGCCGUUAAAUUCAUCACUGGGCAGGUCAGACCUUAAAU
rnacentral:rRNA from 1 species